rnacentral:lncRNA from 10 species
GGACACUGGGUGGUGGUAAUAGGUUCUCAGGUUAGACACAGAGAAUGUGAUGCCAGCAAAAUCUGUGACCCUCUCCUCUGGGCAAAGCAACGCCCACACAGUCCUCUUAGGACAGAGACAAUAACGAAAUUACAAUUCCAACCCUAGUAACCUACUCCACAUUCAUCAUUUCCCUAGGUUACAUAAGAAUUCCACGGGUUGUCAUGGGCAGUGAUUCUCAUUUUUGAAGAUGAGGGGUCUGAAGUGUAGAGAGCUCUUGAAACUCAAGUAAGAUCGCAAUGCUGUUAAGUAAUGAAGCUGCCCAAUAUCCAGCAACCUGCUGCAAGAGAAAACUGGGGAUGCUAUUAGGUUGGUGGAAAAGUAAUUGCAGUUUUUGCCAUGAGUUUUAAUGGCAAAUGGCUUUUGUACUUUUAAUGGCUAAAACUGCAAUUACUUUUGCACCAACCUAAUACGUUGCAAAUCUUUGUUCUCUCUGUUCCACUGGGGAUCCCCAUGUGUCUCAUGAAGUCAAUCUCUGGCAUUCAAGGGCUGUUAGAACCAAGAUAGUGGACAGCUCCCUAGCACUGGUUGCUCACCACCUUCUCUCUUGACAUCCCACUACCAGGAGGUCACAAGUAGCUUCGAAGUGAAGAUGCUUCACUCAUAGGCUCUCAGCCAAUCAGCCAGAGUGCUCUGUGGUCUAAUAGAAACCAAUUUUCAGACAUAUUUGAAAUAUCGUGUUUGCUCUGGAUUUUCUCUAUUCUCCCUUUUCUCAGACUACCACCCUUGACUCUUUCUAUUGAAACAGCAUUUUUUGUUCUCUAACUUGAUUAUCUCAUCUUCUUUUCACUAGAGAAGGCAUCUUCCUUCUGUAUUGUGGCUUUUUGCCUCAGUGAGUUAGUGUUAGUGAUGUAAAACAGCACACCUAUGUAUUCUUUCAGUUUUUGUGGUUCAGGAGUCUUGGAAGAAUUUAGACAGAUCUCUUGCUUAGGUUUUCUGCAGCUUGCAGUCAAGGUGUCUAUGGGGCUGUAUUCUCAUCUGGAGGCUCAAAUGGGGAAGAAUCUGCUUGCGUGCUUUUUCAUGUUGCCGACAGAAUUAUUUCCUUUGCAGCUGUAUGACUGAGGCUUCUUUCUGGCUGUUGACUGAAGGUCACCCUCAAGUCUUAGAGGCUGACUGCAGGGCCUUGCCAUAUGUCAUUCUCCCUAGGCAGUUCAUAAUGGGUCUGUUUCUUCAGUGCUACCAGGAGAGUAUCUUUCUGUUGUCUCUGAAGUUAGAGUCUUAUGUGAUAAAAUAUAAUCACAAUAUGACAUCCCAUCUCCUUUGCCUUGGAAGGUAACCUCAUCAAGUCAUGUUCUAUUGGCUAGAAGCAAGCAACAGGUCUAUCUUCACUCAAGGUGGGGGGAUUAUACAAGGGCAUGGAUCAG